rnacentral:lncRNA from 1 species
GUUAUACCCGGACCGAAAAACAAUUUACAAAAUAGUUUUAGCCUCCGGUUUAAAGCCGAUAUUGACUUUACAGUGUAAACAGAUAUUGGGUUUCCAUUAUAGUAUUUCGCAAUAUUGCAUCAGCCGGUUACGACUAGUUUUAUCAAUACACAUAACAUUCUUUACUGUUUUAAGUAUUAUAACGAAAAAAGUGGAAUUUAAACAACUGAAAUGUAUUCAAGAAUUCUACAAAGAUAUUAUUAGCCAGACGAAUUACAACGUGAAAAAUCCAAGACUUUAUAAAGACAACGAACGUUUAACACAAAAUAUAUCAUCGGAAGACUUCAA